GAUCAAGUCAUAUUGGUUCAGCACCUGUUUCUUCAAGGUUUUCAUUGAUCCCACUUCUUAACUGCAUUAGGCUGCUUUAUCAAGUCCACCUUUCUAAUGCCAAGAAAUCAUCUGCCACAACUGAAAUCAAACACAAGUUGGAUAAUGACAGCGGCAAGGACAUUUUUAAGUUGGGGAGAAAAGAUCUUCUUCCGAAAGUGAAGGGAACCAAAACAAAACAAUAAUUGGUGUUGUAUAUUGACCGAUGAGAGCGUGAAAAGAGAGACCGGAUUGAUGCAAACGUUGUCGUAUUGUUGCAGAGUACACCACUAUAGUGUUGCUAACAAUGGCAAACUUCAGGGGUUUAAUUUUGAUUAUUAAGACUGGGAGAUGAAGGUGAUUAUGCAUAUACCAUUACUGUGAGAUUCGCCGAUUAGCAAUGGAAGUUUGUUACCUGGUGUCGACAGGACAAAUCACUUCUUUGAAUGGAGAUUCAACUCAUAUUGAUGAUGACCAUGAGUUGAAGUAGGGUCUUCAACAAUUUUGUAAGGCCAACCCAUAUUCACUUAGGUCGUUGGGAGGCUGUCAUGAAAUUCGGUUGGUCGGGUUUGGGUUUUUCAG
rnacentral:lncRNA from 1 species